rnacentral:misc_RNA from 1 species
GAUGAAGAACGUAGCGAAAUGCGAUAAGUAGUGUGAAUUGCAGAAUUCAGUGAAUCAUCGAAUCUUUGAACGCACAUUGCGCCCCUCGGUAUUCCGUGGGGCAUGCCUGUUCGAGCGUCAUUUGACCCCUCAAGCCUAGCUUGGUAUUGGGUGCUUGUCCCGCCUCUCGCGCGGCGACUCACCACAAAGUCAUUGGCAGCCCGCAUCUCGCCGGCCGUGAGCGCAGCACAGACGCGCUCUUGGCAACGACGGAUCGGCUCUCCAAAAGCUUAUUUCAACCACUGACCUCGGAUCAGGUAGGGAUACCCGCUGAACUUAAGCAUAUCAAUAAGCGGAGGA